rnacentral:lncRNA from 1 species
AGAAACGAUUGAAACAGGAAUUAAAAGGGGAAAACGGAAGGAGAAGGAGGGGGAAGAAGGAGGGGGAAGAAGGAGGACGGCUCGGAGAAAGAACGGACGGGGCAUCGUGGUUGGGAUCUAUAAGGGGGCACCGAUGUCGUGGUGUGGGAGGUGUGAGGCUCGACAGGCAGCGGAAGAGGUAUGUAGAGUUUUAGAUUUGGGAAUGAGAUGAAGGAUAUCUUGAUGGGACGAAAGGGUAAAUGUGCAUGAAAGGAGCAUCGGAGUAGAUCCGAUCUUGAUGAAUGUGUUCAUGUAGGAUAAGAGAGUUAGAUGGUAGGAUACCUAAAAACCUUGGGUCAUCCGAUCCAUGGAUUUAAUAUAGUAUUGUCAUUUGUAGUAGGUUAUUGUUUAAUUAAUUUUACUGGCGUUGUUUACUUUAUUCUAUUGCGAUGGGUUUAAUAUUUUAUUAUAGGUUAUUGUUAUUAUUUUAGCAUAUCAUUGUUUCAUUCUACUACCAUUUAUUGAUUUAUCUUAUCGUGAUAAUAUAAUUAAGGGUGAUAAAGUAUUUAAAUGGUAGGAUCAUGGAGUUGUCUAUUGUUGGCUCACUAUGGGGAAAAUUUGGGUUUAAUUGGGUUUAAAUUGAUAUUGCUAUCGUCUUCAUGUUGCUGGUCAUAUUUGGCCUAUAGGUGUUGCUGCUUAUGUUAUGGUUGGGUCUCAUGAUUUUUUAUAUUUUUGUUACUGUCGGGUUCUAUUGAAAAUUGGGUUAAAUUGAGUUUUAAAGUGAUAAUGCCAUCUUCACUUGUUGGUGUCUAUAUUUUGCCUAUAUGUGUUAUGGCUUAUAUUAUGGUUGAGUCUCAUGAUUUGCUCUAUUUUUGUUACUGUGGAGUUCUAUUGAUGACUGUGUUAAUGGGGUUUAAUAUGACAUAGGAUUGCAUGCUAAAUUGGCAUGUAAACUGUUUCGCUUAAAUAUUUUAUUGCUGUCUUGUUUUGUGAUCGUCGAUGACAUGGCAGAUUAUUGAUUUACCCCUAUCUUUAGGUGUUCUACAUACUAUUGGGGCAUGUUGGAUUUGCAUAUAAGUUAUUUCUCAUUGUGGUUGAUUCGAUUAAUUUAUUUAUGAUUAGAUAAGGAACAUGUUAUAGAGGUGAAUGUUUGGUUAGAAGUUAAGAUGUUUAUCAUGUGGUCUGUUUUGAUAGUAUUUAUGUUGUUGUUUUGUUUAUUACGAAAUGUCAUGGGGGAUGCAUGUUUUGGGCAGCUAAUAGGAUGUUUCAGGUGGUGUUUCUAUUAUUAGUUGCUGAUUUAAAUUAUAAUAAGAUUGGGGGAAAUUCACAUGAAUGACAUGGGAAUAAGAAUAGUAAUGCAUGUAUGAAUGGGUCAAUGAACGAACGAAUGAAAGCAUGAAUGAGAUAUGACUGGGGUGUUAUGACGCUUAAUCAAUGGUGAAUGACGAAUGACGAGUGAUAACCUAUUAGGGGUGAUGAAUGAUUGGUACUAUUAGACUAAAUGUUUACAUAUGCAUGUGUUAUGUUAAUCGAUAUUGUUAGAAAUUGUCGGGGUAUAUGCUUUACAUGCUGAGUGAUGUAGUCACUCACGGAUACAUGACAUGUUGUAGGGAAUGGAGGCAACCGUGCCUAACUGGAGUGGUAGGAGACCAAGGACUCGUCGCGGUGACGAGGCACGUCGGCGUAGGGUGAUAGCGAUGUAGUUUUUUUUUUUUGUCUUUGGUUGUAAUAAGUACCGUGUUAGGUUUCCCGAAUACUAAGUGUUUUUAGUACUCCAUGAUGUGAAACUUUCAUUUGAAAUUAAAACUAUUGUUGAUCAUUUUAUGGGAGUUAAAACCCAGUUUGGAAGUAGGGUUCUGCAGACACUUCACAAACUUUUUCCAUGUCCUCCCAAAAGGUCGGGAGUCCAAUAGGAUCGAACCUAUCAUCGAUGUUGCGAACCGGCGAUGAAGGAGGAGGACCCAACCAUGAAGGUGUCGGACUCUCUCCUUGCCUGUCGAAUGGUAGCAUUGAUGAGGGAGAAUAUGGAGGCAUUGUCGUUCGGUUAAAAAUCGGUGGUCGUAGGUGAUGAAUCGGAGGUCGGAGGUAGAUAGAAAUGGAACUUGGUAGAAGAUGAAGGUAAAAAAUAACAGUGUAAAGGUAACAUACUUUAAAUCAGAUGAUUGAUGACCAACUCAUACCGUCCAUACCUACUAUCCCUGAUGAAAUGAGGGAGAAUAUGGAGGGACGUAUGGGUUGGAAGAGGGGGA